UUUUUUUUUUUUCUGUCGCUUAUAGUUCUUUUAUGGUUUACGCAGCAUCUUCCAUCACUCGCUCCAUGAAAAGUGCUCUAAGCGUUCCCCUUUCUGAUUCGCAUUCUCUAUUAAUGCGAUUAUCCGAAGGGCUAUGAUUUCUUAACAAACGUCCGAAGCGCGAUUUUCUUCCGAUAUUCAGGGUUUUCCAAGCGUCAUUCUCUUGAAAAAUCUAAUCACCCAUUGUAUUAAUCUAUGUCCACGGAAUUCUUAACGCUCUCAUACGACACCGUACUUCAAAAGCUUCUAUCAUGGCUU